GCGCAUCGCGACCCCA
rnacentral:rRNA from 2 species